GGGGACGUUCAUGGAUUCGACAGGGGUCCCCCGAGCUCAUUAAGCGUGUCGGAGGGUUGUCUUCGUCAUCAACACACACAGUUUAUAAUAACUGGCAAAACAAACAAUAAUUUCGCAGUAGCUGCCUAAUCGCACUCUGCAUCGCCUAACAGCAUUUCCUAUGUGCUGUUAACGCGAUUCAACCUUAAUAGGAUAUGCUAAAC
rnacentral:tmRNA from 1 species